rnacentral:rRNA from 1 species
AGUGAACGCUGGCGGUAGGCCUAACACAUGCAAGUCGAACGGCAGCACAGUAAGAGCUUGCUCUUACGGGUGGCGAGUGGCGGACGGGUGAGGAAUACAUCGGAAUCUACUUUUUCGUGGGGGAUAACGUAGGGAAACUUACGCUAAUACCGCAUACGACCUACGGGUGAAAGCAGGGGAUCUUCGGACCUUGCGCGAUUGAAUGAGCCGAUGUCGGAUUAGCUAGUUGGCGGGGUAAAGGCCCACCAAGGCGACGAUCCGUAGCUGGUCUGAGAGGAUGAUCAGCCACACUGGAACUGAGACACGGUCCAGACUCCUACGGGAGGCAGUAGUGGGGAAUAUUGGACAGUGGGCGCAAGCCUGAUCCAGCCAUACCGCGUGGGUGAAGAAGGCCUUCGGGUUGUAAAGCCCUUUUGUUGGGAAAGAAAAGCAGCAGGUUAAUACCCCGCUGUUCUGACGGUACCCAAAGAAUAAGCACCGGCUAACUUCGUG